rfam:Oryza rufipogon genomic scaffold, chr09
CCUGAUUUCCAUGUUCAACGUUUGACCGUCCGUUUUAUUUAAAAAAAUUAUAAAAAUAAGUUAAAAAAAAUAAGUCACGUAUAAAAUAUUAAUCAUGUUUUAUCAUCUAACAACAAUGAAAAUACGAAUUAUAAAAAAUUUUCAUAUAAGACAGAAAGUUAAAGUUGGACACGAAAACCCAGGGUUUAUCUUUUC